AAGUGACCUAUCUCAAGUGCCGGAAGACGGGGUGAAAGCCGGCCGCGGACAUCGUCAGCCGCCCCCAAGAGUCACGCCGGGCCUGCCCGUGUCG
rnacentral:sRNA from 1 species